rnacentral:ncRNA from 2 species
AUGAUGGUUAUGGGAGAGACCGCUUUUGGCGGCGCCGAAGGAGUAAGUGCUUUGUCAAACUCUCAGGCAGAAGGACUGUAACCGGACU